ACCUAGUCUUUUUUAGCACAGGAGCAGAGGGGCUGGAGACCUAGAAAUAUGGUUCUUUCACAUUUAUCCCCUUCCCUACGCACACAGGUAAUGCUAGCAUUUUUGAUGUGAUGGGUCAACCACUACUAGGGUUUGCUGCUGAGUCUAGCCUACCCUGACAGAUCAUUUCUUUGCAUAAAGAAAUAUUUCUCUCAAGAGGCUGAUAGCAUCCCCAACGAUUCUUUGACAGCUGAGAAGUCUUUGCCUGCACAGAGCACAGAGAAAGAAAAAAAAUUACCUCUGGGAUAGGGGCUAAAGAGAGAGAGUUUGUCAAACUGCACACAAAUAGCAUUGAUGAAUCUUAGCAGACUCAAUCAGAACACCCUGUUACAAAUUGAAGGAUAGAAGAAAUAUUCAGAAAGGAAUUACCAUAUGUGAAUAUGCUGGGUUUGGUUCGACUUUGUAAACUGUAUUGCAUUUUAUUUGAUGAGAUGGUAAAUUUUCAAUAGAAACAGAAAAUAUAAAAAUAUUAAGAUGCAAAAAAAGAAUUCACUGUGUCUCCAGUUUUUCUCUUCAUAAUGGCACAAAGUGGAAGCAAUGGACUCAAAAUAACCCAGGAGGCCUGGAACACAUGGGGAAUAUAAAAUAUUGAUUUGGAAGGCUGGAAGGGCUGCCUUAAGAGCAGGUAUCAGAUAAUCAUGGAAAAGAUGAAGCAAGAAGACAAUCCACCAGACAUUUGGACUGCUGAAGCUGACGAGGACAAAAAGAGAAACGAGGGUGAGGAAGAGAGAGAGAGAGGCAAGAAGAUUUUGGAGCAGACAAAUGACAAAAUAUAAGGCGUUCUUCAGUAAAAUUCACAUGGCAACAGCCUGUAGAUGGACAGGAGUGGGAAGACAUGAACUGAGGAAGCAAGUGAGAAGACGUGGUCUAAGUGAGGAGGUGAAUGGAUGUACGAGUGGAGAGGUGUGGAAACUUUGUUACAUGACAUUGUGGUGUUGGGGACCUAUGGGAUCUUUAUGCUAUCUUUUCAUCCUCUGGUCCUUGGGUGAUAUGCCUGAUCUGUCUGAUCUCAUGCCUGUGGGCCUCCAGUGCAGAAGCCUGGAAACUUUUAAAUUUGAGUUUAGUUCUCUUGGCUCAAGUGAUGCUCCUGCUGAUUGUUCCUGGCUACCCAGAACCCACUUAAGCUUCUACUUUGAACCCACCGGAGGUCUGCUUUGGACUCCCAUUCAGCCCCAGCUCAGGCUGUUCACUCAGCUAUGGAGCCAUCUUGCCACUGCUGCACCAAACCCCUCUGGAAAGCUGCUAAAUUAGACUCAUAUCUACACCUCACGGUAAACAAGUAUAGGUGGGGAAAGCUAAACAUCAGGACCUGAGUGACUGGUCAUGCUAGAGACCAUCAAACUUACUUGAAUAUGACUGCAAUCUGUGUCAGUGUGGACAGUUGAUGUGGGAAACAAGAGUCCUCUUCUAUCCCUAUAAUAUCCUCACUUACUAAUGUAUGUGUCACUCUCCAGGCCAAGUCCAAAUAAGUGAAAAUCUGGGCAGACAUCUAAAUAUCUCUGCUCCUGGCCCUUCUCUCUCUUAUUCUUCUUAUAAUAUUGCAGGGCCAGAAAGACAACUUUUCAUUUACAUCUCUUAUAUCCUAGCUGCCUUCUCCCAGGCUCCAUCUAAGCCCCAUGAUGGACAAAGGCUGAGGCCUCCAGCUC
rnacentral:lncRNA from 1 species